UCCUACGGGAGGCAGCAGUGGGGAAUAUUGGACAAUGGGCGAAAGCCUGAUCCAGCAAUGCCGCGUGUGUGAUGAAGGCCUUAGGGUUGUAAAGCACUUUCAAUAGGGAAGAAGAAUAUUGCAUUAAUACUGUGGUAUUUUGACGUUACCUAUAAAAGAAGCACCGGCUAACUCUGUGCCAGCAGCCGCGGUAAUACAGAGGGUGCAAGCGUUAAUCGGAAUUAUUGGGCGUAAAGCGCUCGUAGGUGGAAAUUUAAGUCAAAUGUAAAAGCCCUGGGCUCAACCUGGGAACCGCAUUUGAUACUGGGUUUCUUGAGUAUGGUAGAGGGAAGUGGAAUUUCCGGUGUAGCGGUGAAAUGCAUAGAUAUCGGAAGGAACAUCAAUGGCGAAGGCAACUUCCUGGGCCAAUACUGACACUGAGGAGCGAAAGCAUGGGUAGCAAACAGGAUUAGAUACCCUGGUAGUCCAUGCUGUAAACGAUGAGAACUAGAUGUCGGAGAUUUAUCUUCGGUAUCGCAGCUAACGCAUUAAGUUCUCCGCCUGGGGAGUACGACCGCAAGGUUAAAACUCAAAGGAAUUGACGGGGGCCCGCACAAGCGGUGGAACAUGUGGUUUAAUUCGAGGAUACGCGAAAAACCUUACCUACCCUUGACAUCCCUGGAAUUAUCUAGCAGUAGAUAAGUGCUUUCGAGAACCAGGAGACAGGUGUUGCAUGGCUGUCGUCAGCUCGUGUCUUGAGAUGUUGGGUUAAGUCCCGUAACGAGCGCAACCCUCGUCCUUAGUUGCCAGCACGUCAUGGUGGGGACUCUAAGGAGACUGCCGGUGAUAAAUCGGAGGAAGGUGAGGAUGAGGUCAAGUCAUCAUGGCCCUUAUGGGUAGGGCUACACACGUGUUACAAUGGACAGUACAAUGGGAAGCAAAGCCGCGAGGUGGAGCAAAACCUUUAAAGCUGUUCUCAGUCCGGAUUGGAGUCUGCAACUCGACUUCAUGAAGUCGGAAUCGCUAGUAAUCGUGAAUCAGCAUGUCACGGUGAAUACGUUCUCGGGCCUUGUACACACCGCCCGUCAAACCAUGGGAGUAGGUUGCACCAGAAGUGGGUAGACUAACCGCAAGGAGGUCGCUUACCACGGUGUGAUUUAUGACUAGGGUUAAGUCGAAACAAGGUAGCCG
rnacentral:rRNA from 1 species